ensembl:lncRNA
CCUUGCUGUCACCCUGCUGUCACCCUGCUGUCACCCUGCUGUCACCCUGCUGUCACCUUGCUGUCACCCUGUUGUCACCCUGCUGUCACCUUGUUGUCACCCUGCUGUCACCUUGCUGUCACCCUGCUGUCACCCUGCUGUCACAAGGAAGCUUUGAAAUCCUCUUCAGUCCCUUUCACAGAAUCUCAUGUGGUCUGAGAUCCUCUAUCUAGGGUGGUUUCUGUGGUCUGAGAUCCUCUAUCUAGGGUGGUUUCUGUGGUCUAGGGUGGUUUCUGUGGUCUAGGGUGGUUUCUGUGGUCUAGGUUGGUUUCUGUGGUCUAGGGUGGUUUCUGUGGUCUAGGGUGGUUUCUGUGGUCUAGGGUGGUUUCUGUGGUGUAGGGUGGUUUCUGUGGUCUAGGGUGGUUUCUGUGGUCUAGGGUGGUUUCUGUGGUCUAGGGUAGUUUCUGUGGUCUAGGUUGGUUUCUGUGGUCUAGGUUGGUUUCUGUGGUCUAGGGUGGUUUCUGUGGUCUAGGGUAGUUUCUGUGGUCUAGGGUAGUUUCUGUGGUCUGGGGUGGUUUCUGUGGUCUAGGUUGGUUUCUGUGGUCUAGGGCGGUUUCUGUGGACCCUGCCAUCAUUCAGAGUUUCAAUCAGAACAUGAUCUAGAGACUGAAUCUGGAGACUGAAUCUGGAGACUGAAUCUGGAGACUGAAUCUAGAGACUUGAAUCUAGAGACUUGAAUCUAGAGACUUGAAUCUAGAGACUUGAAUCUAGAGACUUGAAUCUAGAGACUUGAAUCUAGAGACUUGAAUCUAGUGACUUGAAUCUAGAGACUUGAAUCUAGUGACUGGAUCUGGAGACUGCCACCUACUUGCUUACUGUCUACGUGUGUAUCUACAUGCCUGACUUGUUGUGUGUUUCGGUGACUAAUGACUGUUUCAUGUAAAUAUUAAAUAUAUACAUCACACUCCUCUUAACCUGUUUAGUCCAAUGGUUUUAGAUUAUACAAGUCAAUCAAUGACCAUGUGGUUUCUGGGUGAUGUCUUCUUAUAGAUACAGGUCUCUACCUAGCCAUAGGGUCAAGAGUAGUGCACUAUGUAG